rnacentral:lncRNA from 1 species
UCAUGCACUAUUUUAAAAGCAUAUAUGCAUUUUGAAAUAUGUGAGAAAAAAUCAUGUAUCAACAACAUCCUUGUGGCAAACUGAGACAAUACAUGUGAUCAUUACAUCUGAAGCAAUAACAUCUGGUCUAGCAGGAAGAGUAUAGAAUUGGGCCUGACCGCCACAUGAUCAUCCUCCCCCUCUUGAGCGGCCCCUACCUGACUGAGCCCCACGCUGGCUGGGCGGGUGGAGUAACCACUGGUACUGGUGCCCUCGGCUGAGAACUGUUGUGGAGCCCUACUCAACAACCUAGGACAAUCUCUCUAGAUGUGACCAAAUUCUCCGCGCUCAAAACAACCCCUUCUCUGACAGAGCUACUACUUCUGAUAACCCGAGGAAAUACCCAUAGAAGCCUAAGCAGACGAUGCAUGGUGAGAACUAUGCGCUUGUAAUACACUGAAUAAAGACUGGUCAGAGUGAGCAAUGUAAGAAUCGUGGCUAGAUGAUGCACCACGAUAAGCUGAGCGACUCGUGUGAGUAGGCCUAUAAGGACGAGCUCUACUAUGGUAGGAUUGAUCCCCUAAAGGAAUACCAUUCAAACCACCCGAUCCACGAGGCCUUUUGGACUCCCUCUCUCUACACUCCUGGCUAAUGACCAUCUCUAUUUGCCGAGCUAUGUCAACUACAACGUCAAAGACCCUCUCUGCAUCAUAAGUAUUUGCAGCUGAUAUGUGAGGCCAUCAAUGAACCCCAUAAUCCUUUCCCUAUCAACAGGAACCAACCAAACUACAUGAUGGGCCAAAUUAGAAAAUCAUAUCUCGUACCGCAUCACAUACAUGCCCUCGUGACAUAACUACUCAAACUCUCUACACAGCUCCUCUCUACGAGACUAUGGCACGAACUUCUCCAAGAAGAGAAUAGGGAAC